GGCGUCCGCCUCGUGGACGCCGCUGCCCAUCCAAGCCGACUCCCGGCUACCCUGGCGCCGUGCGGUAUCCGGGCCCGUCCCGGGACACCCGCAUAGCCGACAGCCGUCGCAUCUAGGGAGUCCUUUCAUG
rnacentral:sRNA from 1 species